ACAAACUUGGUCAUUUAGAGGAAGUAAAAGUCGUAACAAGGUCUCCGUUGGUGAACCAGCGGAGGGAUCAUUACCGAGUUUACAACUCCCAAACCCGUGUGAACGUUACCUUUCUGUUGCUUCGGCGGGAUCGCCCCGGGCGCCAUCGCGUGCCCCGGAGUCAGGCGCCCGCCGGGGGACCCAAACUCUUGUUUUGCCAGUGGUAUCUUCUGAGUGGAUUACAUGAAUAAUCAAAACUUUCAACAACGGAUCUCUUGGUUCUGGCAUCGAUGAAGAACGCAGC
rnacentral:misc_RNA from 1 species